rnacentral:rRNA from 1 species
GUAGGGAAUCUUGGGCAAUGGGCGCAAGCCUGAUCCAGCAAUGCCGCGUGCAGGAAGAAGGCCUUCGGGUUGUAAACUGCUUUUGUACGGAACGAAACGGCUCUGGUUAAUACCUGGGGCUAAUGACGGUACCGUAAGAAUAAGCACCGGCUAACUACGUGCCAGCAGCCGCGGUAAUACGUAGGGUGCAAGCGUUAAUCGGAAUUACUGGGCGUAAAGCGUGCGCAGGCGGUUUUGUAAGACAGGCGUGAAAUCCCCGGGCUCAACCUGGGAAUGGCGCUUGUGACUACAAGGCUGGAGUGCGGCAGAGGGGGAUGGAAUUCCGCGUGUAGCAGUGAAAUGCGUAGAUAUGCGGAGGAACACCGAUGGCGAAGGCAAUCCCCUGGGCCUGCACUGACGCUCAUGCACGAAAGCGUGGGGAGCAAACAGGAUUAGAUACCCUGGUAGUCC